AACACGUCCCAACCUACCUAGGGGUAGCGAAUAACUCCCGGGAAACUCCAGCUAAUACGCUAUACGACCUUCGGGUGAUUGAUUUAUCCGCCCUAGAUGGGCCCGCGCAUGAUUAGCUAGUUGGUGGGCAGAAAAGCCUUGGAAGGCGAGCUCCAUAGCUGGUCUGAGAGGAUGAUCACGCACACUGGCUCUGAGACAGGGCCCAGACCUCUACGGGACGCAGCAGUGCCGAAUCUUGAGCAAUGGGCCAAACCCUGUACCAGCCAUGCCGCGUGAGUCAUGAAGGCCAAAGGGUUGUUUAGCUCUUAGCCCAGGGAAGAUAAUGACGCAACCUGGAUAAGAAGCCCCCCCUAACUCCCAGCCAGCAGCCGCGGUAAUUGCGAGGGGGUAAGCGUUGUCGGAAUUACGUGGCGUAAAGCGCACGUAGCCGGCUAUCCUAGUUGGGGGAGAAAUCCCUGGGCUUAACCCAGGAACUGCGUUCAAAACUCCAUGGCUAGGAUCCGAGAGGAGUGAGUGGUAUUUCCAGUCUAGAGGUGAAAUUCGUAGAAAUUGGAAAGUACACCAGUGGCGAAGGCGGGUCACUGGCUGCGUACUGACCGUGAGGUGCAGCAGCGUGGGGAGCAAACAGGAUUAGAUACCCUGGUAGUGGACGCCGUAUUCGAUGGGUGCUAGUUGUCAGGCAGCUUGCUGCUUGGUGACGCAGCUAACGCAUUAAGCACCCCGCCUGGGGAGUACGGUCGCAAGAUUAAAACUCAAACGAAUUGACGGGGGCCCGCACAAGCGGUGGAGCAUGUGGUUUAAUUCGAAGCAACGCGCACAACCUUACCAACCCUUGACAUCCCGGUCGCGGUUACCAGAGAUGGUUUCCUUCAGUUCGGCUGGACCGGAGACAGGUGUUGCAUGGCUGUCGUCAGCUCGUGUCGUGAGAUGUUGGGUUAAGUCCCGCAACGAGCGCAACCCUCGCCUUUAGUUGCCAUCAUUAAGUUGGGCACUCUAGAGGGACUGCCGAUGAUAAGUCGGAGGAAGGUGGGGAUGACGUCAAGUCCUCAUGGCCCUUACGGGUUGGGCUACACACGUGCUACAAUGGCGGCGACAAUGGGCAGCGAAGGGCGACCCGGUGCAAAUCCCAAAAAGCCGUCUCAGUUCGGAUUGUACUCUGCAACUCGAGUGCAUGAAGGUGGAAUCGCUAGUAAUCGCGUAACAGCAUGACGCGGUGAAUACGUUCCCGGGCCUUGUACACACCGCCCGUCACACCAUGGGAGUUGGUUUUACCCGAAGCCGGUGCGCUAACCGCAAGGAGGCAGCCGACCACGGUAAGGUCAGCGACUGGGGUGAAGUCGUAACAAGGUAGCCCUAGGGGAACCUGGG
rnacentral:rRNA from 1 species